rnacentral:ncRNA from 6 species
CAGUGCAAUGUUAAAAGGGCA